GGCACCAUGGCUUAGUUGGCUAAAGCACCUGCCUUGUAAGCAGGACAUGCUGGGUUCAACUCCCAGUGGUGCCU
rnacentral:tRNA from 1 species